rnacentral:rRNA from 1 species
UACGAAGGUCCCAAGCGUUAUCCGGAUUUAUUGGGUUUAAAGGGUGCGUAGGCGGAUUAUUAAGUCAGUGGUGAAAGCCUUCAGCUUAACUGAAGAACUGCCGUUGAUACUGAUGAUCUUGAGUAUGAUUGAAGUGGGCGGAAUGUGUCAUGUAGCGGUGAAAUGCUUAGAUAUGACACAGAACACCGAUUGCGAAGGCAGCUCACUAAGCCAUAACUGACGCUGAGGCACGAAAGCGUGGGGAGCAAACAGG